AGAUAAGCGUCAAGUGGAUGGCUUCGGUUUUGCUUGACGACGAAAACCUAAGCGAAUAUAAUCAUGUAGAAACCUUAUAGGUUUUCCGUUUGGACGAGGGUUCGAUCCCCUCCGCCUCCACCU
rnacentral:tmRNA from 1 species